AUACGUAGGUGGCAAGCGUUGUCCGGAUUUACUGGGUGUAAAGGGCGCGUAGGCGGGAAAGCAAGUCAGAUGUGAAAUGUGGGGGCUUAACCCUCAAGCUGCAUUUGAAACUGUUUUUCUUGAGUAUCGGAGAGGCAGGCGGAAUUCCUAGUGUAGCGGUGAAAUGCGUAGAUAUUAGGAGGAACACCAGUGGCGAAGGCGGCCUGCUGGACGACAACUGACGCUGAGGCGCGAAAGCGUGGGGAGC
rnacentral:rRNA from 1 species